rnacentral:rRNA from 1 species
GUCUAUGGCCAUGCUAUCCUGAACAAGCCCGAUCUCAUCUGAUCUCUGAAGCUAAGCAAAGUCGGGCCUGGUUAGUACUUGGAUGGGAGACCACCUAGGAAGGCAAGGUACUGUUGGCA